UUCCGGUUGAUCCUGCCGGACCUGACUGCUAUCGGAUUGGUACUAAGCCAUGNUGAGUCGUUGCAGCAAUGCAAGGCAGACGGCUCAGUAACACGUAGUCAACCUAACCUAUGGACGGGAAUAACCUCGGGAAACUGAGAAUAAUACCCGAUAGAUCAUGAUACCUGGAACGGUUUAUGGUUCAAAUGAUUUAUCGCCAUAGGAUGGGACUGCGGUCUAUCAGCUUGUUGGUGAGGUAAUGGCCCACCAAGGCUAUAACAGAUACGGGCUCUGAGAGGAGGGGCCCGGAGAUGGGUACUGAGACACGGACCCAGGUCCUAUGGGGCGCAGCAGGCGAGAAACCUUUGCAAUGUGCGCAAGCACGACAAGGUUAAUCCGAGUGUUUCCUGCUAAAGGAAUCUUUUGUUAGUCGUAAAACCACUAGUGAAUAAGGGGUGGGCAAGUUCUGGUGUCAGCCGCCGCGGUAAAACCAGCACCUCAAGUGGUCAGGAGGAUUAUUGGGCCUAAAGCAUCCGUAGCCGGUUCUGCAAGUUUUCGGUUAAAUCCAUUCGCUCAACGAAUGGGCUGCCGAAAAUACUACAGAUCUAGGGAGUGGGAGAGGUAGACGGUAUUCGGUANGAAGGGGUAAAAUCCUUUGAUCUAUUGAGGACCACCUAUGGCGAAGGCAGUCUACCAGAACACGUUCGACGGUGAGGGAUGAAAGCUGGGGGAGCAAACCGGAUUAGAUACCCGGGUAGUCCCAGCUGUAAACGAUGCAGACUCGGUGAUGCACUGGCUUGUGGCCAGUGCAGUGCCGCAGGGAAGCCGUUAAGUUUGCCGCCUGGGAAGUACGUACGCAAGUAUGAAACUUAAAGGAAUUGGCGGGGGAGCACCACAAGGGGUGAAGCCUGCGGUUCAAUUGGAUUCAACGCCGGG
rnacentral:rRNA from 1 species